rnacentral:rRNA from 1 species
AUACGUAGGUGGCGAGCGUUGUCCGGAAUUACUGGGUGUAAAGGGCGCGUAGGCGGGGAUGCAAGUCAGAUGUGAAAUUCCGGGGCUCAACCCCGGCGCUGCAUCUGAAACUGUAUUUCUUGAGUGCUGGAGAGGAAAGCGGAAUUCCUAGUGUAGCGGUGAAAUGCGUAGAGAUUAGGAGGAACACCAGUGGCGAAGGCGGCUUUCUGGACAGUAACUGACGCUGAGGCGCGAAAGCGUGGGGAGCAAACAGGAUUAGAUACCCUGGUAGUCCACGCCGUAAACGAUGGAUACUAGGUGUAGGAGGUAUCGACCCCUUCUGUGCCGGAGUUAACACAAUAAGUAUCCCACCUGGGGAGUACGGCCGCAAGGUUGAA